rnacentral:rRNA from 1 species
ACGCUGGCGGCGUGCUUAACACAUGCAAGUCGAACGAUGAAGCCUAGCUUGCUAGGUGGAUUAGUGGCGAACGGGUGAGUAAUACGUGAGUAACCUACCUUUAACUCUGGGAUAAGCCUGGGAAACUGGGUCUAAUACCGGAUACGACCAAUCUCCGCAUGGGGUGUUGGUGGAAAGCGUUAUGUAGUGGUUAUAGACGGGCUCACGGCCUAUCAGCUUGUUGGUGAGGUAACGGCUCACCAAGGCGACGACGGGUAGCCGGCCUGAGAGGGUGACCGGCCACACUGGGACUGAGACACGGCCCAGACUCCUACGGGAGGCAGCAGUGGGGAAUAUUGCACAAUGGGCGCAAGCCUGAUGCAGCGACGCCGCGUGAGGGAUGACGGCCUUCGGGUUGUAAACCUCUGUUAGCAGGGAAGAAGAGAGAUUGACGGUACCUGCAGAGAAAGGGCCGGCUAACUACGUGCCAGCAGCCGCGGUAAUACGUAGGGCGCGAGCGUUGUCCGGAAUUAUUGGGCGUAAAGAGCUUGUAGGCGGUUUGUCGCGUCUGCUGUGAAAGGCCGGAGCUUAACUCCGUGUAUUGCAGUGGGUACGGGCAGACUAGAGUGCAGUAGGGGAGACUGGAAUUCCUGGUGUAGCGGUGGAAUGCGCAGAUAUCAGGAGGAACACCGAUGGCGAAGGCAGGUCUCUGGGCUGUAACUGACGCUGAGAAGCGAAAGCAUGGGGAGCGAACAGGAUUAGAUACCCUGGUAGUCCAUGCCGUAAACGUUGGGCACUAGGUGUGGGGGACAUUCCACGUUUUCCGCGCCGUAGCUAACGCAUUAAGUGCCCCGCCUGGGGAGUACGGCCGCAAGGCUAAAACUCAAAGAAAUUGACGGGGGCCCGCACAAGCGGCGGAGCAUGCGGAUUA